UAGUCAUAUGCUUGUCUCAAAGAUUAAGCCAUGCAUGUCUAAGUAUAAGCAAUCUAUACGGUGAAACUGCGAAUGGCUCAUUAAAUCAGUUAUCGUUUAUUUGAUAGUACCUUACUACUUGGAUAACCGUGGUAAUUCUAGAGCUAAUACAUGCUAAAAACCCCGACUUCGGAAGGGGUGUAUUUAUUAGAUAAAAAACCAAUGCCCUUCGGGGCUCCUUGGUGAUUCAUAAUAACUUGACGAAUCGCAUGGCCUUGUGCCGGCGAUGGUUCAUUCAAAUUUCUGCCCUAUCAACUUUCGAUUGUAAGGUAGUGGCUUACAAUGGUUUCAACGGGUAACGGGGAAUUAGGGUUCUAUUCCGGAGAGGGAGCCUGAGAAACGGCUACCACAUCCAAGGAAGGCAGCAGGCGCGCAAAUUACCCAAUCCCGACACGGGGAGGUAGUGACAAUAAAUACUGAUACAGGGCUCUUUUGGGUCUUGUAAUUGGAAUGAGUACAAUUUAAAUCCCUUAACGAGGAACAAUG
rnacentral:rRNA from 1 species